CUUGAUUCCAAAUCUGGGUGACCAGGUACCAAGGAAGGAAAGAAGGAUAUAACUAGGAGUAAAUUGGAAAGAGGUAACUAUCACAUGGAUCCAUUUUCUCAAACACAUGGCUGGGCUGGGGACUUCUGGUUUUAUGCAGAAGCAAAUGAAGAUGUCAGAUCAAGGUGGCACAGAGGUGAAGGUCAGUCCAGGAGGGACCAAAUCCAAUUAAUUAAGGCUUCUCAAAUGCUUAAUGUAACAUGUAACUGGCUGACAAAGCUCCCUGUAUAUUCAUUAUGGAAAUGAAGUGCUUUAAGAGACCUCUGGGGGUGAAUUCUGGCUGUAUCCACAACAGGAGCCCAGGAAGAACUCUCAGUUCUCACGUCCAGAUGCAUAGCUCAGCCACCACCUUUCCUUUUUGCAGGAAGGAAAUACAGAUGAAGGGAGCUGAGUUCAGCUGUUCACAAAGAUUAAACCCUGGAGUUCAGUCUUGCACCUGAACAGGCAAAGAACACCUCUCCAUGCAAUCCUACCAUUAUACCAAGACAUCUUCAUCUGAAUAUUUUAAUGCACUUUCUUGGCAGAAAACAUCUUCAUAAAUAGAUGAUUUCUUGUAUC
rnacentral:lncRNA from 1 species